CAGUGUGAAAUGAGACGAAAGAAGACUCUGGACGCGCUUUGCGUUUUUGAAGAUGAUGGGCGGAGUCGUCCACAGGAAAAGACGAAGAAAUAGAGUAAAAGAGUUCAGAGUGUAUGCAAAAAAUGUCGUA
ensembl:ncRNA F13H6.21 ncRNA